rnacentral:rRNA from 1 species
ACUCCUACGGGAGGCAGCAGUAGGGAAUCUUCCACAAUGGGCGCAAGCCUGAUGGAGCAACACCGCGUGAGUGAAGAAGGGUUUCGGCUCGUAAAGCUCUGUUGUUAAAGAAGAACACGUAUGAGAGUAACUGUUCAUACGUUGACGGUAUUUAACCAGAAAGUCACGGCUAACUACGUGCCAGCAGCCGCGGUAAUACGUAGGUGGCAAGCGUUAUCCGGAUUUAUUGGGCGUAAAGAGAGUGCAGGCGGUUUUCUAAGUCUGAUGUGAAAGCCUUCGGCUUAACCGGAGAAGUGCAUCGGAAACUGGAUAACUUGAGUGCAGAAGAGGGUAGUGGAACUCCAUGUGUAGCGGUGGAAUGCGUAGAUAUAUGGAAGAACACCAGUGGCGAAGGCGGCUACCUGGUCUGCAACUGACGCUGAGACUCGAAAGCAUGGAUAGCGAACAGGAUUAGAUACCCUGGUAGGAUAGCG